UGUGAUUUUUCCUAUCCUUGCAUUCUGCAAACCAAGAAAGCGGGCUUGCAGUUCGAUUGAUAAGCAAAAUGUUUGAGUAAGAACUUUUUUCUUUGAGAUCAGCCCUGCUAACUCCUUCAACGUGGGCAACCCCUCUAGAACCUAACUUCAUGCUUGUAGCCAGGACAUGAUGCCACAUUUCAGAAUUGUCUAAAAUUACAG
rnacentral:misc_RNA from 1 species